GGCUCUGUAGUGAAGUUCAUAGUGAGUUGCAAGCUCAUUGAUGUGCAUUGAGUAUGCGCCGGAGCCU
rnacentral:tRNA from 1 species